GCGGUCGUAGCUCAGCUGGAUAGAGCACCAGACUACGAAUCUGGGGGUCAGGAGUUCGAAUCUCUUCGACCGCGCCA
rnacentral:tRNA from 1 species